ensembl:lncRNA
AGAGAGAGUGAGAUAGGAGGGAAGAGGGAGAGAGACUGUGAAAAAAAGCCUUAAGUAGUUGGAUGAAGAAAGUCAGCCUAACUUUGUGGAGGUUUACAAAUGAAACAAACGCACCCAGACUCUUCAGUAGCGCCGUGUCUACGGGCCGCCGGAGGGGACAAUCCCAGCCUCAGUGUUUAGAGCUUCUUUCUGUUUCAGGGCAGCUUUGUGUUUCGCUGCUGCCCUUUCAGACGUGGACCUGGGGUCUUUUGUAAAGCAGAAAUUCUCAACAAACUGUGGCCCGCUAUGCUUUCCGUUGACCGUGUUUCUAAAUGGUGUAACCGUCACAGAGUUGUGUUUUGCUACGGGGGGCUCCACUCCACCGCUCAUAAGGUACGACGCGUUUAUCAACUUUUAUUUGGCUUCUAUUAGCUGUCGUCGUUUCUUAAAGGACUUCAGCGCUGCAGGGUUAGCUCCUCCGCCAGGGGAGCUAGCUAGAGUAACGCUGCUCACACAGCGAGGGCAGAAUCACUUCCACUAGCGUAGAGCUAGCAUAGAGCUAGCGCAGAGCGAGCACCGCACGCAUAUCCUGUAAGUAUGUACAGAAGAAGAAGAAGAAACCGGACUUAAUUUAUUUGUUUUUCAUUUUUAAAACGGAUCUAUGGAGUGGUUCUAGGAGGUUCUCGGUAUAAAAUGUUUUAUCUACUGUGGAACCAUGUCUCUAUGGAGGGAUGAUUCUAUGAAUAUAGAUCUAUAGAUCUAUGAAUAUAGAUCCAUAGAUGUAGGUUUGUAUGAAUAUAGAUCUAUUAUUAUAGAUCUAUAUGGAUAUAGGAUUAUGGAUCUGUACAUUUAUGAAUAUAGAGCAAUAGAUCUAUGAUUAUAGGUAUAUUGGUAUAGAUGUAUAGAUCUAUGAAUAUAGAUCUGUAUUGGUGCUGACCAUGUGCACUCCGACCCCGGUGGUAAAGCGAAAUACAAGAAUUUGAGUCGGUCGAUUUUUUGGGGACAGAAGUGAAGAAUUGAGGAGCAUAAUUUUAAACGUCAUAAUUAAGUGCCACUAAUGGUUCCUCAAAGCUAAGCUUUAAAAUAUGUGCCAUUCUUUGUCAGAUUUCAGUGUUUUUUUGACAAGAAUUUUCUUUGGGUCUUUUAAGAAAAGUGACCUUUUUACAAUUACCAGUCCAUUUUCUGGGAAUAUUAGAAAAGGAAAUCAAAAGGAAGAAGUUAUUCCAGUCAAUUUAUUGAUCAGCAUUUUAAAUAAUGACGACAUGAAUAAAGUAUUCACUGUUCAAGGUGUAAUAAGCCUGUGGCCAUAUGUUGUGUUUCUGAAUGAAACUCCUCCAUUUAAAAGAAAAAAACAAACAGUGAAUCCAUACCUCGGCUGAUGUUGUUUAUCAGUCGAUCGAUCAGCAUAUCUUCACUGUCCCUGUUUUGUACCCAGGCUUCAAAUUACGCGACUGCAAUACCGCGUUUCAUGUUCCCGAUUAGAGCCUGGCUCUCUUUAAAACUAUCUACCUUUCAGGAGUCGGCUGAGGGCCCUGGACCACAACGUUAAAUUGAGUAGGCAGCGUUAGCAAUGUAAAUACACCGGUAUGUAGCAGUGUCGCCGGUUCAUACCGGGACGACACCCGGACAAUCACCGCAGGACCGACCGUCGCUCCUUCAACAACACGGAACUUUUAUUUUUUUACAAGCACUUUCCUCACUGUUUUGUCUCCGUUCUUCAAUCAGCCAAGUAACUUGCUGACGUUUUUUUUAAGGAUAUGAAAUGUCUUAUUUACUUGAGUUGGCAUAAG